rnacentral:rRNA from 1 species
UCCGUAGGUGAACCUGCGGAAGGAUCAUUCACACAUGAAAUUCACAUUUCGUGAACCUGUAAAUGGUAUUUCGGUACUGUUUGCAAACACAUAUGUUGGGUUAAUUAACAGGAUUUUCUAAGCUUUAUGAAAUAUUAGCGAUGGAUGUCUUGGCUCCCAUAACGAUGAAGGACGCAGCAAAAUGCGAUACGCAUUGUGACUAGCAGAAUUCUUAGAAUCAAUAGAACGCUGAACGCAUACGGCGCUGUAGCUUGCUACAGCAGGUCUGUUUCAGAGUCAAUUACGAUCUCUCAAGCAAUUUAUUGUGUGAGAGGCCAUGUGCUGCUCGUGGCUUUACUGCUGUGGACAGUCGCUUCGUUCUACAACUACUCCUUUUGGACAGAUUCGUUAAGAAAUUGUACGAUUGGUGUGCUAAUGUUGUAGCUAACUAAGUUAUAUGACCUGAAAUCAGACCAGGCUACCCGCUGGACUUAA